CUACGUGCCASCAGCCGCGGUAAUACGGAGGGUGCGAGCGUUAAUCGGAAUAACUGGGCGUAAAGGGCACGCAGGCGGUGACUUAAGUGAGGUGUGAAAGCCCCGGGCUUAACCUGGGAAUUGCAUUUCAUACUGGGUCGCUAGAGUACUUUAGGGAGGGGUAGAAUUCCACGUGUAGCGGUGAAAUGCGUAGAGAUGUGGAGGAAUACCGAAGGCGAAGGCAGCCCCUUGGGAAUGUACUGACGCUCAUGUGCGAAAGCGUGGGGAGCAAACAGGAUUAGAUACCCUGGUAGUCCACGCUGUAAACGAUGUCGAUUUGGGGGUUGAGCUUUAAGUUUGGCGCCCGUAGCUAACGUGAUAAAUCGACCGCCUGGGGAGUACGGCCGCAAGGUUAAAACUCAAAUGAAUUGACGGGGGCCCGCACAAGCGGUGGAGCAUGUGGUUUAAUUCGAUGCAACGCGAAGAACCUUACCUACUCU
rnacentral:rRNA from 1 species